GUGCUUGAUCUGCAGCACAUGGAUGAAAAGUGAAUGAAUACAGACAAGAUCAGCAUGGCUCCCAGCAAGGAUGACACACAAAUUUGCCAAGUAUUUCAUAUCUUU
rnacentral:snRNA from 1 species